UUACCAAACAAUUGGCUAGCAGAACGAUCUGGAAAGGUCGUCCACAGAGGGUGACAGACCCGUACGCGAAAGUUAAUUGUCUCUGGAGGGUACCCUGAGUAGGUCGAGGCACGUGAAACCUCGACUGAAUCUGCGGGGACCAUCCCGUAAGGCUAAAUACUCCCUAAUGACCGAUAGUAAACAAGUAGAGCGAUCGAAAGAUGAGAAGAACCCCUGUUAGGGGAGGAAUGUGAACCUGAAACCAUGUGCCUACAAGCGGUCGGAGCGCUAUGGCCUUUUGGCAAUGCGUGACGGCGUGCCUUUUGCAUAAUGAUCCGGCGAGUUACCGUCAGCGGCUCGGUUAAGGCCUUUCGGGCCGAAGCCAUAGGGAAACCGAGUCUGAAUAGGGCGACUAUUGGUCGUUGGUGGUAGACGCGAAACUGCACGAACUACCCAUGAGCAGGUUGAAUCGCGGGUAAAACCGCGUGGAGGACCGAACCCACUUGGGUUGAAAACCGAGGGGAUGACUUGUGGGGAGGAGUGAAAGUCUAAUCAAGCGCAGAGAUAGCUCGUUCUCUCCGAAAUAGCUUUAGGGCUAGCCUCGGGCAAUAGAUAGUGGGGGUAGAGAGACUGAAUUGGAUGGGGGCCCUUCCCGGGUACCUCACCGAACCAAACUCCGAAUACCAUUAUCCGUACCCCGGGAGUCAGUCCGCGAGGGAUAAGCUUCGCGGUCGAGAGGGAAACAACCCAGACCACCUGCUAAGGUCCCCAAGUAAAACUCAGUCACUAAGGAAGUGAUUUUGCUAUGACAGCCAGGAUGUUGGCUUAGAAGCAGCCACCAUUUAAAAAGUGCGUAACAGCUUACUGGUCGAGCAAUUUUGCGCCGAUAAUGAACGGGAGUUAAGUUUUACACCGAAGCAGUGGGAUCCACUUUGUGGAUCGGUAGGAGAGCGCUGUACGUCAGAUACAAGUCGCACCGAAAGGAGCGAUGGUGGGGCGUACAGGUGAUUAUGCCGGAAUGAGUAACGAUAAAGCAGGUGAGAAUCCUGCUCGCCGAAAGCCUAAGGUUUCCUGGGGAAGGUAAAUCCGCCCAGGGUUAGCCGGUUCCUUAGUCGAGGCCGAAAGGCGUAGACGAUGGAUAGCAGGUCAACAUUCCUGCGCCACAUGCCGGACUGAUGGAGGGACGGCGUCUGAAAGGUGAGGGGACGGAUAGAAAUGUCCCUCGCCUGUGUGGAGGGUAGCUGUAGGCAAAUCCGCAGCGAUAUCCUGAAGCAUGGGACAAAGACGUUUAUGUUUCGAUAGUCAUCCGAAAGACGUCCAAGAAAAGCUUCUAGGGUUGAUGGCAUGUGACCGUACUAAAACUGACACAGGUAGGCGGGACGAGAAGUCCUAGGCGCUCGGGAGAACACUGGUUAAGGAACUCUGCAAAAUGGCCCCGUAAGUUCGCGAUAAGGGGUGCCCUCUUUGGUUUACGCUGAGGAGGGUCACAGUAAAUCGGCAUCAGCGACUGUUUAUCAAAAACACAGGACUCUGCUAACUCGCAAGAGGAUGUAUAGAGUCUGACGCCUGCCCGGUGCUGGUAGGUUAAGGAAGAGGGUUAGCCGUAAGGUGAAGCCCGCGACCGAAGCCCCAGUAAACGGCGGCCGUAACUAUGACGGUCCUAAGGUAGCGAAGUUCCUUGUCGGGUAAGUUCCGACCUGCAUGAAAGGCGUAACGACUGAUGCACUGUCUCAACCAGUGACCCGGUGAAAUUGUAGCCGUGGUGAAGAUGCCACGUACCCGCAGUAUGACGGAAAGACCCCGUGAACCUUUACUGUAGGCUGAUAUUGGUCUUGGACGUGUUCUGUGUAGGAUAGGUGGGAGGCUUUGAAGCAGUGACGCUAGUCAUUGUGGAGCCAACGUUGAAAUACCACCCUGGAUUCGUUUGAGUUCUAACGCUGAUUCCCGUGAAUCCGGGCAGCGGACAGUUUCAGUUGGGCAGUUUGACUGGGGCGGUCUCCUCCCAAAGAGUAACGGAGGAGUUCAAAGGUACCCUCAGCCUGGUUGGCAAUCAGGCAUUGAGCGCAAAGGUAGAAGGGUGCUUGACUGCGAGACUCAUAAGUCGAGCAGAUACGAAAGUAGGACUUAGUGAUCCGGUGGUUCUGAAUGGAAGGGCCAUCGCUCAUCAGAUAAAAGGUACUCCGGGGAUAACAGGCUUAUCGCUUCCGAGCGUCCAUAGC
rnacentral:rRNA from 1 species